rnacentral:misc_RNA from 1 species
GAUGAAGAACGUAGCGAAAUGCGAUAAGUAAUGUGAAUUGCAGAAUUCAGUGAAUCAUCGAAUCUUUGAACGCACAUUGCGCCCGUCAGUAUUCUGGCGGGCAUGCCUGUUCGAGCGUCAUUACGCCCCUCAAGUCCCCUGUGGACUUGGGGUUGGGGAUCGGCGAGGCUGGUUUUCCAGCACAGCCGUCCCUUAAAUUAAUUGGCGGUCUCGCCGUGGCCCUCCUCUGCGCAGUAGUAAAACACUCGCAACAGGAGCCCGGCGCGGUCCACUGCCGUAAAACCCCCCAACUUUUUAUAGUUGACCUCGAAUCAGGUAGGACUACCCGCUGAACUUAAGCAUAUCAAUAAGCGGAGGA